rnacentral:tRNA from 1 species
UGGACGUUGGUGAACAGGUCUAUACCAGACUUUUAAUCCGGGUGUCGUGGGUUCGAGCCCCACACGGCCCACCA